GAUGAAGAACGUAGCGAAAUGUGAUACGUAAUGUGAAUCGCAGAAUUCAGUGAAUCAUCGAGUCUUUGAACGCACAUUGCGCCCCCUGGUAUUCCGGGGGGCAUGCCUGUCCGAGCGUCAUUGCUGCCCUCAAGCACGGCUUGUGUGUUGGGCCUCCGUCCUCCUCCCGGGGGACGGGCCCGAAAGGCAGCGGCGGCACCGCGUCCGGUCCUCGAGCGUAUGGGGCUUCGUCACCCGCUCUUGUAGGCCCGGCCGGCGCUUGCCGACACAUCAAUCUUUUUUCCAGGUUGACCUCGGAUCAGGUAGGGAUACCCGCUGAACUUAAGCAUAUCAAUAAGCGGAGGA
rnacentral:misc_RNA from 1 species